rnacentral:siRNA from 1 species
AACCAGCUCUGAAUCCACCUCGAU